rnacentral:rRNA from 1 species
UACGUAGGGGGCAAGCGUUGUCCGGAUUUAUUGGGCGUAAAGAGCGUGUAGGCGGCCAAGCAGGUCCGCUGUGAAAACUCGAGGCUCAACCUCGAGACGUCGGUGGAAACCGUUUGGCUAGAGUCCGGAAGAGGAGAGUGGAAUUCCCGGUGUAGCGGUGAAAUGCGCAGAUAUCGGGAAGAACACCCGUGGCGAAGGCGGCUCUCUGGGACGGUACUGACGCUGAGACGCGAAAGCGUGGGGAUCAAACAGG